GUUAGGGAAUCUUCGGCAAUAGGACGGAAGUCUGACCGAGCAACGCCGCGUGAGUGAAGAAGGUUUUCGGAUCGUAAAGCUCUGUUGUUAGAGAAGAACGCUGGUAGGAGUGGAAAAUCUACCAAGUGACGGUAACUAACCAGAAAGGGACGGCUAACUACGUGCCAGCAGCCGCGGUAAUACGUAGGUCCCGAGCGUUGUCCGGAUUUAUUGGGCGUAAAGCGAGCGCAGGCGGUUCUUUAAGUCUGAAGUUAAAGGCAGUGGCUUAACCAUUGUACGCUUUGGAAACUGGAGGACUUGAGUGCAGAAGGGGAGAGUGGAAUUCCAUGUGUAGCGGUGAAAUGCGUAGAUAUAUGGAGGAACACCGGUGGCGAAAGCGGCUCUCUGGUCUGUAACUGACGCUGAGGCUCGAAAGCGUGGGGAGCAAACAGGAUUAGAUACCCUGGUAGUCCACGCCGUAAACGAUGAGUGCUAGGUGUUAGGCCCUUUCCGGGGCUUAAUGCCGCAGCUAACGCAUUAAGCACUCCGCCUGGGGAGUACGACCGCAAGGUUG
rnacentral:rRNA from 1 species